GGGGAUUUAGCUCAGUGGUAGAGCGCUUGCCUAGCAAGUAAGAUUUCUUUUUUUCCCU
rnacentral:tRNA from 1 species